UAGUUUUCAUAAAAGCAGUCAUAAAACUGUGAGUUUUAAUUAUUGCUGUUAUUAAACCCUAAUAAAAAUCAAAGAAAACCAAUCAGCAAUGAAAUUGUUACUUGGGUUUUAUUGCAAGUUUUAUAAAAUUGGUCAUGAAGAUCUCUUGUAGAGCCGAACAAAACUUAAAAUGUUACUUGGGUAUGGACGUGAAACGUUACGUCCAACAGUGUGCGGUCUGUAAAGCAUCUAAAGCACCAACAUCAACGUUAACCCCACCGAUGGGAGCAACCAAACCAUCCAAAUAACCAUGGGAACUCAUAUCCAUUGACUGGGUGGGGCCCAUGACUAGAUCGCGCCAUGGGAAUACGGUACUAUUAGUAAUAGUCGACUGGAUCACAAAAUUCAUCAUCGUCGAACCAUUUCGCUCGGCGAGCGCUCAACAAAUGGUAACAUUUCUUGAAAAUUAUGUUUUUUACGAUUUUCCACUCCGAGGGUUAUCGUAACUGUCUCAGGCUCGCAAUUCACCUCGCAUUUGUUCCGAUCACUCUUACUUCGGCACAAAAUAACUCACAUGCGAACGGCGUAUUACACGCCAAUGUGCAACGCCGCAGAGCGAACAAACCGUACCCUGGUAACCUGCGUAAGGGCGCUUCUAGACGAAGAUCAGCGAAAUUGGGAUGAGCAUCUACAACAAAUUGUCUGUGCAAUCAACACUGCAAAACACGAGAUUCUUGGUUGCAGCCCAUAUUUUGCCAACUUUGGCAGAAACCACAUUCUGUUUACGGAGCAAUACACUACAGCAGCAAUGAACUCACACGAAGAUGGACGAAAAGCCCAAGAAAUAAGACUUCAGGCGGCACAGAACAUACAACGAUUUGUCGUGGAUCGUAUCCGUUUGGCAGACGAAAAAAGCAAACAGCGAUAUGAUCUGCGGACAAGAGUGAGGAACUUUUCAGUGGGCGAAUUGGUUUGGAGACGUUCAUUCCAGAAAUCAUUAGCUAUCGAUCAACGAACGAAAAAACUUGGGACGAAAUUCGUUCCUUGCUACGUGCGGGAGGUACGAGGAGCAAACAGCUACUUACUAGAGGAUGUCAAAACCUCAUCUGUUGGCGUCUAUCAUACUAAAACUAAAAAUAAAUCAGCUAUGUGAACAGUCAACUGUCAACAAAGAUCGAUACCUUCAGGAUCCUCAACAACGUACGCUUAGCGGAAGUUAUAACAACCAACAGAAAGGAACAACCGCUACACCACCAGCUAUGGCCAUAGUACAACGCCACUCUUGGAAACUGAAGGAUUCCCGGAUAACAACAGUGCACCCGGAUAACAACAGUGCACCCGGAUAACUGCAGUGCAAUGCGCAAGCUGACAGCAAAGCGUGCUUCAACUCAAACGACUUCCAUGAUUUGGGAAGAAAUAUUGACUACGCGUUUUGCAGACUUCGAGAUGAACUCACCGUGAUCCGAUGUUCCAAGAAUGGGUGUUCAUGGAUAACUACAACAAGCUAUGUCCACAGCGCCCCUCAAGCUGUCAACAAGGAGCAUAACGCCAAGAAAACCCGUACGUUGAUUGACUGAUGGACCCAAAACUCUAAGCGAAACCUGGUCAUCUACAACGGCAGGAAGGCUUCCACCUCUGCGUAAACAAGUUAAAGACAACCAAAACGUCACCUGUACAACACACGCGCAAAUCACAAAAACUGAACAGAAACCGACACUUCCUCCUUUUGUCCAGCUAUGUAAGAAACACCACCAUUGCCACGGACUACGAGCACCAUCAGCCCCUAAAACACGCAACGCGGAUUAUCAACCAGCUCACUAUUUCGAAAAAACACGCCAGUUCAACAAAUGACAAUGAAAACUCCAGAACUCGAGACACUGUAACUCCAAACGCCAAAACACCUAAAUAAGCGCAACGCGCAUUCAAGUGAAGAGCGCUCUCGAAUACUAAUAGUCCCUAAAUUAGUAACUAUCAGCCCAAACAUUAAGAUGAAAGCAAUGUUAUAUUUUGUGUGUGUGUGUGUGUGUGUUUUUUUUAAAUGAGUUGUGAAUAAUAUCGACUCAACACAGCUCACGUUGUUAUGGAGCGUCCAUAUAACAACCAGUAGAUAACUUUGAUAGUGAAUAACACAAUUGUAAUUAGCAGUAAGCAACACUAUAUGUAGCCAUAGUCUGUAAGUGUAUUCUUUCUGUAGUAGCCGCUAUAGGCGAAAAUACUCUUGCAGAUCUGCCACUCAUUACGAGUGGAAGCAAGUACUUAUCUUUGAGUUGAGCCAAGAUUUAUAUUGUUAAAACACCGUAACUGAGUUCGAGAUCCAAAGUUGGAAAUAUCUGUCGAACCUUUAUAGUUAGUGUAGUGAAUGUGCCAAAUAAUUGAUUGAAAUUAGUUGACGUGCCUUCUUGCAGUACUAGACUGACUGCGAAAGCCAUUGAUGAUGAUGAUGCAUGUGUUGAAAACGCGCGCUUGUUUGCCCUGGAAGUUGGGCUCUUUAUUCUUGCACAUGAAUGAAAGGGGAGAAGCAUUAUAGAGGUCAAAAGGAGAAAGAGCUAACGGUUGGCUGACUGCGAUGCACGAACAGAAUGAUGGGCAAAGUGUGCGUGCGAAUGGACAUCGAGAGAGUGAGUGAGAGUGGGUAAUGCUAAAUGAAUGGAUGAACGGAUAAGGCUAUGAUAUGUGUAUGUGAGAGCAGGACGGGGAUGAGUUUUGAAAAGCGUUCGAGAGAAAUGUGGUUGAAACUUUCCUCAUUCUGUUGGCUAUAUUUCUGGGUAACGGACGUGUGUGAAGUUCUUGUGAGUUAUCGAACGCAAAAAGAAAAUCGUGCACUCUACACGAUUUAUCUUGAGGCGCGUGUGAUAGAUUUUAUUUAUUUAGGAUUCGGGCGUAACGAAAAAAACGAAAGUAUACUACAGUUAGAAGUGCUAAUUGUCUAGUUCACUAUCAGGGCCGAGGCAAACUUUUACGAAUUUUUUGUGAAUGUCCACUGCCAUGCCCAUUCACAAAAAUUUCGUUCGCAUUGACUUGGAGUUAUGUUACACUGUAGUACCGUGUUGAUUAAAUAUUGCCGAUCGCAACACCAUAGAGCAUAAAUGAGAGCUUCUGGUAACACUGUAUGCAAACAUUAAAACGAACGCUUCACAAAUAAGAUAACAGCGAAACAUAAAGACAAUAAAACGAGGGUUGUCUCUCUCACACACUCACCCUGAAGAAACGGUGUGUGCAGCAGCUCUCCAACAAUACAAAAGUGCGAGCAAAGAACACUUCCAGUAGUGCUUCCAAACCUUACACAUCGCAACCGCGAUCUCAAAGUCUGAGGGCCAAUACAGCUCUUGUGAGUCACAAAAAUCUAGUUGCACAAGAGAAAGGCGCACUCGGAAGGAGAAGGAAUGAAGCAAGCCUGGAAGCCACCACCAAAGCCUCACCAGCACCUAGUGCAAGUACAGCCAUCUUGCCUAGCACAUGCCCAAACAGGAGUACAACUGGAACAUUCUGCGCCAGAAGCACGAAUAGUAAAAAGGCUCUCCAUAAAGUGGUAAUGGCCACAUAUUUAUUUCAUAGACGGCCUACUUAUGAAGAUUUUCUAGUGCCUUUUAAAACGUGCCUCUUCAACGCGCACCUCCAACUUGCAUGACCUCCCAAGUAACAUUUUAAGUUUUGUUCGGCUCUACAAGAGAUCUUCAUGACCAAAUUUUUAAAACUUGCAAUAAAACUGAUUUAUACAUCAAAACCUCUUGAUAACCUCUUUAAGAGAAUCUUCCGGCUAAGUGGACCACUCUCGGAGAGGUUUUGCAAACCGCAUUAGAAGUAGCAAUAAACCCGUUUUAAAACCUAGUUGAGAAGUUUCCCAUUCUCGAUUGUUGUUGUUUUUUUAUCAACAAAACUAUGACAGCUCAAGAUGCAGAAAAGCUUCUUCGAUAGCACGUAAAGUUCAGGAGGAUGCAUCAUUCGUAAGUAGAAAGCGAUCAUUUUAUAGCAAUAUUUUAGUAGUUAUUGUGUUGGUAGGCUUAUGCGCAUUCAAUUUUACCGUGAAUAUUGGGGUUGCAGAACCAUAAAAUUAAUGCGCUUCGAAAAUAGUAAAAAUUAUCAUCUUGGAAUGAAAUAAAUCAAUUGGUUAAUUUAGUAAAACUAUCGCGAAUCACAAGAAAACCCAGCAGAGAUAGUUUAUUUAUGUGAGCACGUUAUGGAAAUUAUGGCAAACUAUCAAUUCAUUGCUAAUUUGAGCAAAAAUAACUAUUUUCCAUUCACGUUAGCUAAUUCUUCAAUAUGGCGACGACCAUAAUCAGCGAAAAUAACACGAAAGCAAGUUUACUUUUAUCAAAUAUACUAUAUCAACAAUAUAGGUCACUCUUACGAUUUUUUGGCGACUCCUUUUUAGUGAAUGUGUCGCCACCAAGCGUCAAAAGAGGUACUACUACACACUAAAUGCAUGCGCUAUCCGAAUUACGUUUAUUCUGUCGAACUGUCAUUGCAUGAUAGGGAUGCCCAUUUCUUUUUGAAUGAUCGAUUAAACAAUAAUCGAUUUUUUCAACUUCUCAAAUUAGAACAAAUUUUAUUCGUAUAAUUCGA